CACAUCAAAUCUCCCAUAUCAACAUUAAGAUCUAAAUCUUCAUCAUCUCCAUACUCUUCUUACACAUGGUGAACCACAUCAUCUACACCUCUUUCAUGCUCUUCAUCCACAUAGUGAGCCACAUCAUCAACACCUUUAUCAUCUAGAUAAUCUCCAAAUAUAUGGUCAAGUGGAACUUCAAGCUCAAAUCCAUCAAAUUGUUCAUCAAUGUCCUAUUCAAAAGGUAUAAGCACAAGAAAGAAAGAAUAAUUAAUCCAAGUUGUUAAACUUGAUAUCAAUUCAAGAAAAGAAAGAGUAUUUACUUACUUGGGGAGGUAUAUUAGUAAACAUGGAUGUAAUAGGAUGCUUAGGCGCAUUCGUUGAAUCAUCUUAUUCAACUAACAGGGUUGCAACACUUUCAUCCUUAGGCUCCCCGUCAUAUUCAGCAACCCACUCAUUGUCAGACUCAAUAUUUUCAAAUGUACAUUCUUUCUUUUUUUCAUAGAUUCUCUAACAAAGUAUCAUUGUACUUCACAUACACA
rnacentral:lncRNA from 1 species